rnacentral:rRNA from 1 species
CGAUGGGCGCAGCCUGAUGCAGCCAUGCCGCGUGUAUGAAGAAGGCCUUCGGGUUGUAAAGUACUUUCAGCGGGGAGGAAGGCGAUAAGGUUAAUAACCUUGUCGAUUGACGUUACCCGCAGAAGAAGCACCGGCUAACUCCGUGCCAGCAGCCGCGGUAAUACGA